rnacentral:rRNA from 1 species
GUGGGGAAUCUUGCGCAAUGGGCGAAAGCCUGACGCAGCCAUGCCGCGUGAAUGAUGAAGGUCUUAGGAUUGUAAAAUUCUUUCACCGGGGACGAUAAUGACGGUACCCGGAGAAGAAGCUCCGGCUAACUUCGUGCCAGCAGCCGCGGUAAUACGAAGGGGGCUAGCGUUGCUCGGAAUUACUGGGCGUAAAGGGCGCGUAGGCGGACAGCUUAGUCAGAGGUGAAAGCCCAGGGCUCAACCGUGGAAUUGCCUUUGAUAGUGGCUGUCUUGAGUUUGGGAGAGGGGAGUGGAACUCCGAGUGUAGAGGUGAAAUUCGUAGAUAUUCGGAAGAACACCAGUGGCGAAGGCGACUCACUGGCCCGUUACUGACGCUGAGGCGCGAAAGCGUGGGGAGCAAACAGGAUUAGAAACCCUGGUAGUCC